CUCCUUUCUUCUCAAUUUCUUCAUGAUUUCACCUAACAUAGAUAUACAGACUUAAAAUUCUAUGUAAUAAACGGUCUGACGUGUGUUCAUGUACUUACGUGUGUAUGUGUGAUACGUGGACGCGUGAGGUCUGGUGAUUGCAAGUGUUAUUUUUGUGUGCAUGUGUACAGAAAAAAUAUCACAUGUUUUUUUUCUUUUUUCUUCUUUUUUUUUUCUUUAUGACAUUUUGUUGUUUGAAAAAUUAUAUAAUAAAUGAUGCCAUACGUUAAUUUCUUGAUAUUAAUGCAGGAAGGUCUUUCCGAAAUAGAUAAGAUUAUUUUUAUUCGUUUUUCAUUGAUUUUUUUUUCACUUCAGUUUUAAAGCUUUUCGUAUAUAACGUGUACAAUAUUAAUUUCAAUAUCGAUUUUCUUUUAAUCUGAAAGAAACUUAUGUAUAUACGUAUGUAUAUACAUAUGUGCGUAUAACAGGUAAUAUUUUUAAUAAUAAGGACGAUAACUUGUUUUUUUUUUUAUAAAAAAGAAAUAUUUUUUAAAUUAAAGAGAAACGUGAAAAAAGAAAUUGACGACAUCGGGGUCGUCGUUCGACUAGUACAUUUAUUUACUUAGCAAACUUCACGGAAAUCGUUAUGCUUCCGCGAAAGUUCUUACAGAUAAACCUUGCGCAAGACAUGCACUUUGCAAGGAAUUAGUGUGUUACCUCGUUUGAUCGACUUAGGGAAAGAAAACAGAAAGUUAUCGAAAUUAUGGAAUUUAUUUGAGUCUUUUUUUCUUUGUUCGACGUCAUUCUCUCUCUUUCUCUCUCUCUCUCUCUCUCUCUCUCUCUCUCUUUUUUCUUUUAAAUAUAACGCGAACAUUAUUAUCGUCUCUUUGAACGUAACGAUAUUAUGAAUGAAAACAAAAAAGAGAAAAAUAUGCGAAAACGAAUAAUACUCGAAGAUUUCAACAAAUGAAUAAUAUUAUUUUAUUUACAAAAUGUCCAUAUUCGAAGAUUAUGUGCGUAAUUGUUUUGAUAAUUUUACAAUACAAUAUACCUUAUUUAAAAGUUAUCGAUUUGUAAAAAAUUUAUCUGUUUUAUAUUCGAAACAUUGGUAUAAGAGUUUCUCUUUUGUAUUACGACCGGAAGCUUUUAUAACCGGUAGAGAAGAGUAUAACAGAGACUCCAUAUCGGUCGUACUAGAAACUUCUACAGUAUCUAAUGUCCAGAUGUUCAUAUUUACAUUUUCUGUUUGAAGUAUUUAAAAGCAUACAUGACUUUCAAAUGAAGCAAGGAAAAAAAGAAAUGCAACAAGUAUGAAAAAAAAAAGAACAGAAAAGAAAAAAAAAACCGAAAAGAAAUAUAUAUUAUCUAUCAGAGUAUCUGCUUCGUGAGAAAGAAAUAAAAUUAUUCUUUGAGAGAGUCAUUCUAUGACAAGUAGAAAAACGAGAUAACAUUUUAAGUCGUAUAGAUACAUAUAUAGAUACAUAUAAAAUCUGGACGAAGCAUAAUACAAAACUCGUUUCUCAAAUUUCUUGAUUAUAAUCAUACAUUUUGUUUUUUCUACGCUUGCCGAAUCACGAAUCAUGAAUCUUAAAAAAGCCGUGUGUAUAUAUAUAUAUAUAUAUAUAAUAUAUAUAUAUAUAUAUAUAUAUAUAUAUAUAUAUAUAUCCGAUUUUGAUGUAAUCUACAUUUUAUACUGUCAAUUAUAUGUUGGCAUUAAAAUUUCCGGAGACAUCGAUGCGCGUAAAUCGUAUGAAAAUGAUUAGUAACAUUAAUGGAAGUAAUGUUGUUCGACUUGUUAUCAAGGAAUAAAUAUUUUGUUUGUAUAUUCGUUUAAAUAACUCAUCGACAGACAAUUUUGCAAAUUAGUUUGAUACAUAGCUUAGAAACAAAGUUUUCUUUCGAAAGUAAAUAUUAAAACUAAUCGUUAGUAGAAAUACAUAUAUAGAUACAGACUGAUUUUCUAGAUUUUAAAAAUGAAUUAUUCAUUUCUCGAUAUUUUUAAGACUUAUUUUAUUUUUGUUUUUUUUCAGAUGUUAUACAAAAGUUUCUAGACAUAUAGUUUUAUAAUUUGAAAGAGAAAAAUUAGUCGUCGAUAAAAGUCUCGAAAAAGAGUAAUUGAUUUUUUAUAUUACUUAAGAACUGUUUCAGCUAACUCGGUAUAAGCUAUUUAUUUAUUCAUACGUACCUUUCCGGUUACAGAUCAAUUUUAGAUAAAUUAAUUUAUUUUAUUAUCGUUUUAUUAUCUUUUCUUUUUAAUUAUUACGAUCGUCAUAAAGAAUAAUGAUCGAGCAAGUAGACUUUCUUCACGCUGUAUAAAUAAGGUAUAAUAACUCUUUUGAUUUGUAUACCUGACAACAGUACCUCUUUACUUUUAUCGGACAGAUCGAGUAGUAUAAAGGCUGCUGCACGAGAUGGCCUACUAUCUCUUUGAAACCUCUCACCUUAGAAUCGUCCAUCCGCAUCGAGGUCACUAUGAAUUAUAUGAAUAAGAUUUCACUUUUCGGCGUUGAAAUAUUUGCGGGAAGAGACUUUGAACGGGUGAAAGAAGAGGAGGGAAAGGAGGAAGAGGUGAAGGAGGAGGAGAAGGAGGAGGAGAAGGAGGAGUAGGAGGAGGAGGAGGAGGAUACCAAAGGAGAGCGCAAAACGACAAAAGACCUCGACUCGGUUGGUUAGCCAGCGUGAAGUCUCACACACUCUCGCAUCUUUCCAUUGUAUAUUCAACUACAUACGUACAUGUGUAUUUUAUAUGCAAACACGAAGAGAAGAUCUAUCUGUCUAUGUGUAUGCAUGCCUUCGCGCGCAAAUCCUAAUUAGAGGAAGAGGAAAAUAAGAGAGAGAGAGAGAUAGAGCGAGAGAGAGAGAGAGAGAGAGAGAGAGAGAGAGAGAAGCAAUGAUUAUGUAAAUUAAUCGACUGUAUAUUGUGAAAACGGAAUCGACCAUGGCUUAUGAAUAAAUUUUAUAUAUUCUUAAAGAAAAAAAA